rnacentral:rRNA from 1 species
UACAGAGGGUGCGAGCGUUGAUCGGAGUUACUGGGCGUAAAGGGCGCGUAGGCGGUCGUGUGAGUGUGAUGUGAAAUCCCCGGGCUUAACCUGGGAAUGGCAUUUGGGACUGCAAGGCUGGAGUGCGGCAGAGGAGACUGGAAUUCCUGGUGUAGCAGUGAAAUGCGUAGAUAUCAGGAGGAAUACCGAUGGCGAAGGCAGGUCUCUGGGCUGACACUGACGCUCAUGCACGAAAGCGUGGGGAGCAAACAGG